CAGAUGGGCUGCACUAUGAUGAGAAGAACUGGCAUUACUGCGACGGCUAUGAUCGGAGGUUUUACACAGAGAUCCUCAAUGGGUUGAAGCCUGCAGGUAUGGCUCAACUCACCAAUAUGGACCCACCUAGAAAAAUCCCCAAGGGCUAUUACGAUUGUGGAGACGGCUUCUAUAACCCAGUCACGAGGGUAGUCAAGGACUAUAGGAACCGCUUUCUAAGAAACGCAGGUAGGUUUCUUCCGACACUGCAGCACGUUUUCUCUUCAUCCACGUAUAAGCAUGUGCAUCUGUAUGUGCAAAUGUAUGCACACACUUGAUGAGAAAGAAGCUUUUGCUGAUAGAAGAUGAAAGUUGA
rnacentral:sRNA from 1 species